rnacentral:rRNA from 1 species
CCUACGGGUGGCAGCAGUGAGGAAUAUUGGUCAAUGGACGAGAGUCUGAACCAGCCAAGUAGCGUGAAGGAUGACUGCCCUAUGGGUUGUAAACUUCUUUUAUAUGGGAAUAAAACGUUCCACGUGUGGGAUUUUGUAUGUACCAUAUGAAUAAGGAUCGGCUAACUCCGUGCCAGCAGCCGCGGUAAUACGGAGGAUCCGAGCGUUAUCCGGAUUUAUUGGGUUUAACGGGAGCGUAGGUGGAUUGUUAAGUCAGUUGUGAAAGUUUGCGGCUCAACCGUAAAAUUGCAGUUGAAACUGGCAGUCUUGAGUACAGUAGAGGUGAGCGGAAUUCGUGGUGUAGCGGUGAAAUGCUUAGAUAUCACGAAGAACUCCGAUUGCGAAGGCAGUUCACUGGACUGCAACUGACACUGAGGCUCGAAAGUGUGGGUAUCAAACAGGAUUAGAUACCCUAGUAGUC